rnacentral:lncRNA from 1 species
UUUACUGUGAAUAAUAACGGUAACAGGUAACAAUGAUGGUGAAUACUUUACUGAAUACUUUCUGAACUAGUGCUAAAAAUUUAAUGUUAUUGUGGUUAUUAAAUUUGACAGUGCUAUUUUUUUCUUUCCAAAUACAGUGUAUUUGGUGCAGUGAAGAGCGCAUUUGCAAAAAAUACUGUUUUCCAUAUCAUGGCUGUAGUAUCAGUUCUAUGUAUUGGGCAAACUGUAGAGUUGACAUGUUUGGAGUCAUAAUGCUGAUACUUGUUGCAAUAUUGACGACAGCAUUAUUGUGGCUUUGGUGUGCCUUUUGCUUUUACAUGAAUGAAUGCCUGAAAAGAUAGAUCUUCCAGAGGGACAAGGAAGAAGUUUCUUCAAUG